rnacentral:lncRNA from 1 species
UAUAAACAUCAAAUAGUGUGAAACGCUUUGUUUUGAAUGUUUGCAGGUAAUGUUCUCCCAUAAGCAAGAUCCGCGUUUUGAAGUCACAAGCCCUGGAAAGUACCCACAGGGAAUAAAAGUAUGUUUCUCGGAUUUGCUCCUCAGCCUGAAGCGAGAGGAGGAGACGGUCUCUCUGUAGUGUCUUUUGUGGAUGGUGCCUUGGACCUGCAUUGCACAGCAGCCCUGCCCUGCUCCCUUCUACACCCCAGAUGCUUUCCUCACCAAAAUCACAGUGACCUUGGCAAUUCUAGAUCCUGGAAGAUAUCCACUCCUAGGGCUGGUUCAGUGUCUUAUUCAUUCCUGGCGUCUACCACUAUGUGAAGCAGAGUCCCUACCACUGAGUAGGAUUCACACGUUGAUCAUCACUGGUCCAUACGAGCUUGACAGAGGCUCCCCGGCAACCUGCAGACUGGAAGCAGUUUCCAAUUGCUUCAUGCACAGCUGUUAACUUACGGAAUUGGGAUUCUAAAUUCUUCUCCUACUUCUGCACGUAAUGAUAUCUUUUUACUAUCUCAUUUGUAUUAUUUCAGUUCAGAUGAGCACAAAAAUAAAUGUAUCCCAUCACAUCUGGAAAAGUACCGC